rnacentral:rRNA from 1 species
CAAAAACAUCUCUUUUUGACACAUAAAAAGUACCGUCUGCUCAAUGCAAUUUGUAAAUAGCCGCAGUAUUCUGACUGUGCUAAGGUAGCAUAAUCAUUAGUCUUUUAAUUGAAGGCUGGUAUGAAUGACGAGACGAGAAAAUAGCUGUCUCUAAAAUAAAUCUUGAAUUUUAUUUCUAAGUGAAAAAGCUUAGAUAAUUUUAAAGGACGAUCAGACCCUUUGGAGCUUUAUUUAUUUUAAAUUUUAAUUUAUUUUAGAUUAUUGAAUGAAUAAUAAAUUUUGUUGGGGCGACAGAGAGUAAUAAAUACCACUCUUUUUUUUAAACAAUUAUAAUUGAAAAAUUGAUCCUUAAAGUAAGAUUAAAAGACUAAGUUACCCUAGGGAUAACAGCGUAAUCUUCUUGGAGAGUUCAAAUCGAUAAGAAGGUUUGCGACCUCGAUGUUGGAUUAAGAGAUUGACAAAGAGCAGAAGUUUUGUUGGAAAGUCUGUUCGACUUUUAAUUUCUUACAUGAUCUGA